GAUGAACGCUGGCGGCGUGCCUAAUACAUGCAAGUCGAGCGAAGCGGGGACGGGUGAGUAACACGUGGAUAACCUCCUAUAAGACUGGGAUAACUUCGGGAAACCGGAGCUAAACCGGAUAAUUAUACAUGGAUCCGCGCUGCAUUAGCUAGUUGGUAGGGUAACGGCUUACCAAGGCAACGAUGCAUCGCCGAACUGAGAGGAUGAUCGGCCAAACGGGAACUGAGACACGGUCCAGACUCCUACGGGAGGCAGCAGUAGGGAAUAUUCCGCAAUGGGCGAAAGCCUGACGGAGCAAUGCCGCGUGAAUGAUGAAGGUCUUCGGAUCGUAAAACACUGUUAGUAGGGAAGCGGUACCUAAACAGAAAGCCGCGGCUAACUACGUGCCAGCAGCCGCGGUAAUAC
rnacentral:rRNA from 1 species